CCUACGGGCGGCAGCAGUGAGGAAUAUUGGUCAAUGGGCUUACGCCUGAACCAGCCAAGUCGCGUGAGGGAAGACUGCCCUAUGGGUUGUAAACCUCUUUUGUCAGGGAGCAACGCCGGCUACGUGUAGCCGGACUGAGAGUAACUGAAGAAAAAGCAUCGGCUAACUCCGUGCCAGCAGUCGCGGUAAUACGGAGGAUGCGAGCGUUAUCCGGAUUUAUUGGGUUUCAAGGGUGCGUAGGCGGAAUGCCAAGUCAGCGGUAAAAUCGCGGGGCUCAACCUCGCUCCGCCGUUGAAACUGGCGGUCUUGAGUGGGCGAGAAGUAUGCGGAAUGCGUGGUGUAGCGGUGAAAUGCAUAGAUAUCACGCAGAACUCCGAUUGCGAAGGCAGCAUACCGGCGCCCAACUGACGCUGAAGCACGAAAGCGUGGGUAUCGAACAGGAGUAGAUACCCGGGUAGUC
rnacentral:rRNA from 1 species